rnacentral:rRNA from 1 species
AUGGCAGCAGGAACGGCCUGGGCGGGAUGCCAUCUCGCCCACCUCCCCCAAAUUCCCAUCUCGGUCAGCAUCCCCGUGACCGGCGCUGCCGCUAGCAGCAGGAGGAGGAGGUGCGGCUUAGCGGCGGCGGCGGGGGCAGCAGCAGCAGCAGCGACAGACGGGCGGGUGCUGGGCCGGCGCCCCGUGGAGGACGUGUACAAGGUGCGCGUGGUGCGCGGCGCGGCGGCGCAGGAGCGGGUGGAGGCGCUGCGGGCGAUGGAGACGUGGUCGACGUGGCGCACGGGGGGCCGCUGCCACCUGGCCUGGGACUGGCAGGUGGACCAGCUCGUGUACAUCGUCGCCGGCGAGGUCCGCGUGCUCCCCGCCGGGGCCACCACCGGCGAGGAGUACAUGCACUUCGUGGCCGGCGACCUGGUCCGGUACCCCAAGUGGCUGGAGGCGGACCUCCACUUCGACGGGCCCUACGAGGAGCGCUACCGCUUCCUCGCCUACGGCGACGACAACUGA